UACGUAGGUGGCGAGCGUUGUCCGGAUUUACUGGGCGUAAAGAGCGCGCAGGCGGUCGUGCAAGUCGCGUGUGAAAGCCCCCGGCUCAACUGGGGAGGGUCACGCGAUACUGCUCGACUCGAAGGCAGGAGAGGAAAGCGGAAUUCCCGGUGUAGCGGUGAAAUGCGUAGAUAUCGGGAGGAACGCCUGCGGUGUAGACGGCUUUCUGGACCGUAACUGACGCUGAGAUACGAAAGCGUGGGUAGCAAAC
rnacentral:rRNA from 1 species